CUUCUGGACGGUCCUGGCUGGCUCCUUUAAUCUGAGAGAAAGGCGAAGGAAUCCUUGGCACCUUCUCCAGAACGCAUUCCAGUGCACGGAGCUCACAGGACCAGCAGACGGAAGAAAAGGAUGAAUUGCUUCCUCGACUUUCUGCUUUCCAUAGCUAAAAGCUGCUCACCUCCUCCAAAAGGUCCCCAUAUGACUCGGCGGAUGGACUUCACCCAGUCUUCCAUGUCAUUCUGGGUGCUCGCCAUGAGGAGAUAGCUCUCAUGAUUGGCUGUCAUCCGAUCUCGUUCCCCUCCUGCAAAAACAUAAGGACAUUCAGUGGACAGUCCAACCGGUGAUCAAAGAUUCCUCAUCUUCCCCUCCAAGGAAGUCCCAGAAUCAAGGGCGGGGCCUCGCGCGGUCAGCCCUGCGUCCCACCGAAUGAACUGGAAAUAUUUACCUCAGCUUCUGGGGGACCUGGAGUGGGGAUUGCUGCUUUAAAAGGAAAGGCUCUUGUGUUUCCAGGAGAAGGCUAGAGACCAAAUACCAUUCCCUAAACAAUGCCUGGGGUUUUCUGUCCUAGCAACAACCCACAGGCCAGUGGUCACCGUAAUCCCGUCCAUUCACAGAGCUGCUGAAUAGGGAGAAACAGUAGAGACAAAGCAAAUGGAGGAGAUGAUGGCGGAGUGGUCCACAGAGCGCUCGGAAUGUCGUCAGGAGCAUUGAACCCUGCUUAGAUCACACUCCAUGGACAGCAGGUCCGUGGUCCAGGGUGCACUGGGCACACCAUGGAAUGGGGGAGGGGAGCGCUGCAUGCCUGGCCUACUACAGAAGGCAAACCAUAUCCAAAGACCCUGACGCCGAAGUAGGAACUUCCAAAAUCCCUGGGUGCAGAGGGGGGUUGUGCCUCUUUUAUUUUCCCACCUGUUCCUGGAAGAUCAUUUCAGUCUCUAAGAUCGGAUUUGAGGAGUUAAAUUCUAAAGCACACAAUUUAAUGCCCCGGGAACUCCUACAGUGUACUUUAAUUUCUCUGGAAUGCAAUUUUCAGGUGCGUGGUGAAAGAGUGACCACAGCUGACCCUGAGAAUCUGUUAGAUAUAAGGCUGCUUCUCUGAGCACUGGUGCCGAUAGGGACAUGCAUCUGUCUUGAGACAUCAUUCCUAAUGAUCAUGAAAGGAUAAUUUAAAAAGUGGGGUACCAUUUCACCAAACUCUGGUGGUCAAUGUUAUACUAACAGCUCAGGGCCUCCGUAGCUAUUGGCAUUUAAUUUCCAGCAGACAUUGUAAACUUGUAGCCUUCGGAUCAAUAAGUCACAUUCAAGGGUUUUCUUCGGUUAGCUCAUCAUUUGUGAGUAGACCGGAAUACUUCUGGGAAAGGCUUGUAGGCUUCCCUUACAGAAGACACCACCUGCCUCUAUCCUUGUACACCCAGACUAACUCACGCGUAGCUUUGAAAGCUACGUUCGGGCGUCUGAGUCCUGGAUUCUAUAGGACCUUCUUAGCUGAGAGUCCUGGCUGAGGCGUCCCGUGAAUAGAGGGAAAUUCGAGGUCAAUCCACCGAGGGGCUCAGCUAGUCUUUCUCAUACAUCUGGAUAAGCAAGUGCUAGAUAAACGUCAAGUAGGCUUCCCCAUACCAAAAUGCAUCUUAAAUAAACAAAGGGUGGCUUUUUGUGAGGAUGAGGAGAAAGUAUAUGGCAAUAAGCUAGAGUGCACAAGAGUAGCAACUCUGUAUUUUCUGCAUCUCAUUUAACCGCCUUUUACCAGGGAGACAACACGGCUAAUGAAUGUAUGAGCAAUUAUUCAAGAGUAACCAGGAUAUUAUUUUAAGCAUUAUCUUCCAUCGAUAUCACUAUAUAUAGAGUGUUCAUUUAAAUUAUAUAAUGGACAUGCAUGUGAAUAUACCAUGCUUCAGCACGCACAUGCAUGCUUGUAGCACAUUUGAAUGCCAGAAAUAACUCUAUGGUAAACUAAAACAACACUUCAGUGGGCAUGAUACAGUACUAAGAAUCUGUUUUGCAUUCCGAUCCAUUUAUGCCAUCACACUGAGACAGACAAUUAGCAUUUUGAAAUCAGAAUAUUUUAAUUACUGCCUUUGCCUGAAGGAUGCUUACUAAAUCAGAUAGCAAUUUCCUGCUGUGUCACUCAGCCCAGAGACAGACAGCCCUGGAGAGGAGAGCAAGCUACAGACAUUGCAGAGCCUGUCUGCCCAGAAGCAGAGGGAGAGGGGGCUGAUAAGCACAACUGGCCAGUAUUCCAGACUCCUUAUUUGAUUCUUUAUCUCUGCCAAGGGUGCUGUGUGUCUGACCUUGAAUCUCAUUGAGGCUGCCAAUCAUAGCUGUGAAAUCCCAAGUGUGAGCUCCAGUCAUUGAUAUAGAUCUGGGCUCCUCCAUGUGUCAGCAAAGGGGAAAAUGGUUUAGAACAGCCUUCCACAGGAGUCUUGGUGGAAACAUGCAUUUCUUUGCUAAAAACGAGAUGAUGUAAUGAUAGCGUCAUGCAUGUGCGAUCCAGAGUUUAUAUUUUCUUAGGUUUUAGAUAGUUGCUGGUGCCCAAAGACACUGCAUGAAAAUACCAGAAAUUAAUAAACCACAGAAUUUAAUGGUGUAUCAUGA
rnacentral:sRNA from 1 species